rnacentral:rRNA from 1 species
CCGCGUGAGUGAAGAAGGUCUUAGGAUUGUAAAGCUCUUUCGGUGGGGACGAUGAUGACGGUACCCACAGAAGAAGCCCCGGCUAACUUCGUGC